rnacentral:rRNA from 1 species
CCUACGGGCGGCAGCAGUGGGGAAUAUUGCGCAAUGGGCGCAAGCCUGACCCAGCAACGCCGCGUGAAGGAAGAAGGCUUUCGGGUUGUAAACUACUUUUAUGAGGGACGAAAGAAAUGACGGUACCUCAUGAAUAAGCCGCGGCUAACUGCGUGACAGCAGCCGCGGUAAUACGUAGGAGGCACGCGUUAUCCGGAUUUACUGGGUGUAAAGGGCGUGCAGGCGGGACGGCAAGUCAGAUGUGAAAAUCAGGGGCUCAACCCAUAACCUGCAUUUGAAACUGUAGUUCUUGAGUGAUGGAGAGGCAGGUGGAAUUCCGGGUGUAGCGGUGAAAUGCGUAGAUAUACGGAGGAAUACCAGUGGCGAAGGCGGCCCCCUGGACAUUAACUGACGCUGAGGUGCGAAAGCGUGGGGAGCAAACAGGAUUAGAUACCCGUGUAGUC